rnacentral:misc_RNA from 1 species
GUCGAGCUUGUGAAUUGUAUGAAUACUUGCUUACCAUAGAGGAAGACCUACAAGUAUCAGAUUUGAAGAUCUUAAUGCUGAUCAGAAGGAGAAGAUAUCUGUUGCUAUGAAUGAAUUGGAGUUGCAAAGGGAUCAGGUAAGAAUAAGUCACCAACAGGCGCAACGGGAAUGUCACCAAAAGUUUCACAAGAUCUGGGGUCAACUAAUGAAGACUGGUUAUCAAAAUUCUCGGUUUGCACAUCAGGUUGAGAGAUUUGCCUGCCUUUAUACUAGCCAAGUUUCCAAUUUAAGCCUGUAUUCGCCUGACAAAUAUUACAGACCAAGUGAAGACUUCAUGCCACAUGAAUUUGGUAUUCUGCCCCUGUGAUCUAUAUUUUGAGGGAGCUUAAUCCCCUUUCUGCCUGGAUGCUUUAGUUAAAAUUUGCUGCUGCACCUCUGUAUUUAAAUCGCACAUCAAAAUCUUUUUUGAUGAUAUAAUUGCUUGUAAUUGUAUCAAAUGUUAAACAUUUUAACUUGCCC